CCGAAAGAAGAGCCACUCCAGAAGGGCAUAGCGCUCCAUGCCAGCAAAUAGGAGCGACUGUGCAGGCGCAUUUGCUCUAGGAUAAUUAAGGUCCGCCAAUUUCUUCCGAAUCUCUUCCAUUUGCCUCGACGCCAUCUUCUGCAGUAACUUAUUUCAUCUUACUGUCACACUUCCUCUUUAGUACGGAGCAGGUCCUUGUGCUCCUCUCAGAAUACACUAACGGCAACACGUGAAGUGGCGCAAGUUACGUGCGAAUCAGCGAAGGAUCUAGCUGUUUCCUGAGAAUUGUCGGAGUUUUUCGUCUCCGGUUUCGCGCCGGCGCUGUGGACGACGGCGUGGGGAACAACGUAGAAUCAGACAAAGAACAGCGUCAAUGUUUGACAGAGAAAAGCGAGUAGAGUUUGUAUGCGGAGGACAAAGAAAUGGAGAAUGAUGAAUAACGAACCACACCCUGUUUUCUGGUGGAAGGUGCUCUGACUUCUGUUACUCCCCUCCUGUGCUGAAGAUUUCAGUUCAAGCUUUACUUGUAU
rnacentral:sRNA from 1 species